rnacentral:rRNA from 1 species
GACGAACGCUGGCGGCGUGCCUAAUACAUGCAAGUUGAGCGCUGAAGGUUGGUACUUGUACCAACUGGAUGAGCAGCGAACGGGUGAGUAACGCGUGGGGAAUCUGCCUUUGAGCGGGGGACAACAUUUGGAAACGAAUGCUAAUACCGCAUAAAAACUUUAAACACAAGUUUUAAGUUUGAAAGAUGCAAUUGCAUCACUCAAAGAUGAUCCCGCGUUGUAUUAGCUAGUUGGUGAGGUAAAGGCUCACCAAGGCGAUGAUACAUAGCCGACCUGAGAGGGUGAUCGGCCACAUUGGGACUGAGACACGGCCCAAACUCCUACGGGAGGCAGCAGUAGGGAAUCUUCGGCAAUGGACGAAAGUCUGACCGAGCAACGCCGCGGGAGGGAAGAAGGUUUUCGGAUCGUAAAACUCUGUUGGUAGAGAAGAACGUUGGUGAGAGUGGAAAGCUCAUCAAGUGACGGUAACUACCCAGAAAGGGACGGCUAACUACGUG